CCUACGGGAGGCAGCAGUAGGGAAUAUUGCUCAAUGGGGGAAACCCUGAACCAGCCACGCCGCGUGGAGGAUGACGGUUUUCGGAUUGUUAACUCCUUUUGUUAGAGAAGCUAAUGACGCUAUCUAACGAAUAAUCACCGUAUAACUCCGUGCCAGCAGCCGUGGGUCUACGGCGGGUGCAGGCGUUACUCGGAAUCACUGGGCGUAAAGGGCGUGUAGGCGGGUUAGGAAGUCCGGUGUGAAAACCUAGGGUUUAACCAUAGAACUGCAUUUGAAACUGGUAUUCUAGAGUAUGGGAGAGGUAUGUGGAAUGCGUGGUGUAGCGGUAAAAUGCGUAGAGAUCAAGAAGAAUACUCAUUGCGAAGGCGACCUGCUAGAGCAUAACUGACGCUGAUGCGCGAAAGCGUGGGGAGCAAACAGGAUUAGAUACCCGAGUAGUC
rnacentral:rRNA from 1 species